rnacentral:rRNA from 1 species
GACGAACGCUGGCGGCGUGCCUAAUACAUGCAAGUCGAGCGAAUGGAUUAAGAGCUUGCUCUUAUGAAGUUAGCGGCGGACGGGUGAGUAACACGUGGGUAACCUGCCCAUAAGACUGGGAUAACUCCGGGAAACCGGGGCUAAUACCGGAUAACAUUUUGAACCGCAUGGUUCGAAAUUGAAAGGCGGCUUCGGCUGUCACUUAUGGAUGGACCCGCGUCGCAUUAGCUAGUUGGUGAGGUAACGGCUCACCAAGGCAACGAUGCGUAGCCGACCUGAGAGGGGAAUCGGCCACACUGGGACUGGGAAACGGCCCAGACUCCUACGGGAGGCAGCAGUAGGGAAUCUUCCGCAAUGGACGAAAGUCUGACGGGGCAACGCCGCGUGAGUGAUGAAGGCUUUCGGGUCGUAAAACUCUGUUGUUAGGGAAGAACAAGUGCUAGUUGAAUAAGCUGGCACCUUGACGGUACCUAACCAGAAAGCCACGGCUAUCUACGUGCCAGCCGCCGCCGCCG